AACGAUGGAUGCCCGUUCUUCGUUCUUUUGAAUGAGGGACCAAGCGAAAGCAUUAAGCAUCCCACCUGGGGAGUACGCCGGCAACGGUGAAACUCAAAGGAAUUGACGGGGGCCCGCACAAGCGGAGGAACAUGUGGUUUAAUUCGAUGAUACGCGAGGAACCUUACCCGGGCUUGAAUUGCAGAGGAAAGAUCCAGAGAUGGUGAUGCCCUUCGGGGCCUCUGUGAAGGUGCUGCAUGGCUGUCGUCAG
rnacentral:rRNA from 1 species